rnacentral:rRNA from 1 species
CCUACGGGAGACAGCAGUGAGGAAUAUUGGUCAAUGGGCGUAAGCCUGAACCAGCCAAGUCGCGUGAGGGAUGAAGGUUCUAUGGAUCGUAAACCUCUUUUGUCAGGGAGCAAUUGGCGCUACGUGUAGCGUUAUCGAGAGUACCUGAAGAAAAAGCAUCGGCUAACUCCGUGCCAGCAGCCGCGGUAAUACGGAGGAUGCGAGCGUUAUCCGGAUUUAUUGGGUUUAAAGGGUGCGUAGGUGGUUAAUUAAGUCAGCGGUGAAAGUUUGUGGCUCAACCAUAAAAUUGCCGUUGAAACUGGUUGACUUGAGUAUAUUUGAGGUAGGCGGAAUGCGUGGUGUAGCGGUGAAAUGCAUAGAUAUCACGCAGAACUCCGAUUGCGAAGGCAGCUUACUAAACUAUAACUGACACUGAAGCACGAAAGCGUGGGGAUCAAACAGGAUUAGAUACCCUUGUAGUC